ACAUUUACCUGGUGCCGGGGCCUCGUUGCUCACGGAGGAUGAGCCCUAAGCCGAGGCGCGGGCAUUGCACUGCGCUCGCGCUGACCCCUGCCACUUUCCUCAAACUGGGCAGAUAGGGCAUGAAAAUUGCUUAGAUCUGCUUCAAAGCACAA
rnacentral:snRNA from 1 species